rnacentral:hammerhead_ribozyme from 1 species
CGCUGGUCGAGAGUUGUUGUCAUUUUCUUGAUGAGCCCAAGGUAGGACGCAACUAGUG